AAAUCAAUUGGACCGGACCCAAGGCCCAACCUAUUAAAUACCGAGGAUAAGCCUUCUUUUUCUUCAAUCCUGCAAACACGUUGAAGAAGCUUGGUUAACGUUAAAACCUAACCCUUAUUCCUCCAAAAAUUCAAUCGUCCAUAACUUUCAAUCCAGAUCUCCGAUUGACAAGCCGUCAGCGACCAUGCGUUCGUCUCGAAAUUCUCUACAAAAUCCACCCAAUAAUUUGAUGCAGAUCGGACAGCACUGCACUGAGCAUUCUGGAGACUUUCUGGAAGCUCAGAACUCUUGAAAUUUAAGGUUGUAUUUUAUUUAUGUUUAUACAUGUAUAUAUAUAGAUUCUCCACUUUGUAUAUAUUAUGUUUUAAUUUGUCCCUUCUAAAGGUUGACUUGGAAAAAUAAGUUUGUAGCUUGGGUUUAGGGUAUUCUUUGGGGUCAUAUAUAUAUACACACUCUAGCCGGUCUUUACUUCGCAGGUCGAGUCUAGAACUUGAUUAUAUUUACCGGUUGGAAUCCUA